rnacentral:rRNA from 1 species
UACGGAGGGAGCUAGCGUUGUUCGGAAUUACUGGGCGUAAAGCGCACGUAGGCGGCUUUCUAAGUCAGGGGUGAAAUCCCGGGGCUCAACCCCGGAACUGCCCUUGAAACUGGAUGGCUAGAAUCCUGGAGAGGCGAGUGGAAUUCCGAGUGUAGAGGUGAAAUUCGUAGAUAUUCGGAAGAACACCAGUGGCGAAGGCGACUCGCUGGACAGGUAUUGACGCUGAGGUGCGAAAGCGUGGGGAGCAAACAGGG